rnacentral:lncRNA from 1 species
UCAAGGAACCAUUGAGGUUUCUGGCCCAAAAAGAAUGUCUCAACAAGGGUUCGUAAAGGGAUUCCACAGACCCCAGAUGAAGAAAAGUGAGCAGCUACGAGAUACGGGUGUUCAGUUAUACUGAUUCAUAUGAAAAGGCACUCCAUAAUGCAAAAUCGCAGAAGAUACGUCAACUGUCGAAUCGGUGGACAGCGAUGAUGAGCCCCGUCGACGAAAGCGACAUACUAGAUAUCAGUCGUUUUCCUCGUCAGAGGUGGGGAGUGACAGCAAAGAUUAUAUUGCACCAUUGAAGAAGCAACCAACCCCGAAGCCCCUACCAAAUCCCCCAGAUGUAGACAUCGAUAUUCUCAACCAAGUGACUAUGUCCCACGACACAACUCCAGCCUCCUCGGUCCCCUCGACUUCUUCAAAUGCUUCGUGCCGCGGCACAGAAGAAUCCUGUCCGAGAUGACGCGGACAAUGAAUGAAUGACAGCACUGCAUCCUCUGUUGGAAAACUAUACUGUCCGUAGUUUUUCUCACAUAAUUGAUAUCCUCAGCCUUUGUAAAAUAAGUUAUUUUGGCACUUUAACACACAGGUCCACACAUGAAUCUAGUUCACUUUGUACGUAUCACAAAAAAGAAAACAAUCAGGCCGUUGCUGAAUGCUUUUCCGUUAUUUUCUGUGCGUAUUUUGCCCCCAGUUCAUAACUUUCACAAAAGAUUGCAAACCAAAUAUUUUCGGGGAACCUGAAAAAUUCCACCAAAAUAUCACGAUCACAAAUAACAUCACAUCACUAAAAUUUAGUUACCCAGUUUCAUUUUGUAAUGGUAUCGACUGUCAAAGUUUAGAUCCAUCAAGAUCAUGGAGUACAUACUUUGUAAUAAAAGUAGAAAAAAAAAGUUAUUCUGAUUCAGUUGUUUUGUUGUCAUUCGUCGACAGGUAUGUUUAAUGUGGUAGGACUGAUGUAAAAAUGUGCAUAAGUGCAGCCGUUAAGCAUCAAAUAAGUGGUGCCCUCAAAGUUGCAGGAAUGUUGUCAACAAUGGUUGCGGUACAGUGUCUAAAUGGUUGCAGUACAAGUUGCAGUAACGUUCCCCAAAUGUUUCAGUACCGUACCAAAUUAGUUGCUAAAACGUCCCUCCAAUGUUGUAGUAUUGUACUCACGACGUUGCAGUAACGUCACUGGAAUGUUACAUUAAAGUUGCAUAGACGUGCCCAAAGGGUUGCAAAUAGGUUUCAAUAUCGUGCUCAUCAAGUUGUAAUCACGUCCCAAAGAGGUUGCAUACGCGUAUCUACAACUACAUUUAGCUACUACGUUCCAAAUGUGUUGCAAUGCAGUGUCAUAUACGUUGCAUUUAGGAAGCUGCAUAGUUGUAUUGACGUACCCACAAGUUGCACAAACGUCCUCGCCAACGUUGCAGUAAUGUGGCAGUUAAGUCGUGGUCGGGUUCCUACAGGGUUGUAAAGACGUAUCUGUUACGUGCCCAUUAAGUUGCCAAAACGUUGUGCCUUGGUAAAAAUCAGGUCGUAAAUAUGUUGCUAUUACGUGCCCAAAUGUUGUAAAAACGUGAUAUUUCGGUUGUCUGAAGUUUGCAGCAUUGUUGUAGACACGUCAAAACAUUACGUUGUAUUGACGUUGUAAAAACGUCUUCAUAACGUUGUGUGAUAACGUU